rnacentral:tRNA from 1 species
UGGCUCAGUGGUAGAGCGCUUGCCUUGUAUGUAUGAGGCCUUGGGUUCGAUUCCUCA